rnacentral:ribozyme from 1 species
UGUCCAGCAACUCCUAUCCCUACCUCCUCGCGGUACUGGCCGGGGUACGAGUAACCUUAGGGAAGAUCGGGUAACCAACCCCCGGUGGGAACUUUGGUCGUAUGCUGACAGGGAAGG